AUACGUAGGGGGCAAGCGUUAUCCGGAUUUACUGGGUGUAAAGGGAGCGUAGACGGAAGGCCAAGUAUGAUGUGAAAGCCCGCGGCUCAACUGCGGGACUGCAUUGGAAACUGGUCAUCUGGAGUGCAGGAGGGGUAAGCGGAAUUCCUAGUGUAGCGGUGAAAUGCGUAGAUAUUUGGAGGAACACCGGUGGCGAAGGCGGCUUUCUGUACUAUAACUGGCGUUGUGGCUCGAAAGCGUGGGGAGCAAACAGAAUUAUAUACCCUGUUAGUCCACGCCGUAAACGAUGAAUACUAGGUGUCGGGUUUCUAUAGAGAUUCGGUGCCGCAGCAAACGCAAUAAGUAUUCCACCUGGGGAGUACGUUCGCAAGAAUGAAACUCAAAUGAAUUGACGGGG
rnacentral:rRNA from 1 species